rnacentral:rRNA from 1 species
CCUACGGGUGGCAGCAGUGGGGGAUAUUGCACAAUGGGGGGAACCCUGAUGCAGCGACGCCGCGUGGGUGAAGGAGCGCUUCGGCGCGUAAAGCCCUAUCGGCAGGGAAGAAGAUGACGGUACCUGACCAAGAAGCCCCGGCCAACAACGAGCCAGCAGCCGCCGUCAUACGGAGGGGGCACGCGUUAUCCGGAUUUACGGGGUGUAAAGGGGGCGCAGGCGGGAAUGCAAGCCAGGAGGGAAAGCCCGGGGCCCAACCCCCGGAGUGCUCUUGAAACUGCAUGGCUGGAGUGCGGGAGGGGGAGGCGGAAUGCGUGGUGUAGCGGUGAAAUGCGUAGAUAUUAGGAAGAACACCGAUGGCGAAGGCAGCCUACUGGAGUGCGACUGACGUUGAGGCCCGAAGGCGUGGGGAGCGAACAGGAUUAGAUACCCUUGUAGUC